GCCGCAUACAACCAAAUUCAAUUAAUCUCAAAAUACUAUGUUAAAUAAAAUAAAUUGGUUCACUAUGGUACUGUUACUGCUAUACAGAUAUCAGUGUAUUUGACAACAAAACCCAUUCCAUGUACGAAGAGAAUAUUUCCAAUAGUACAAAUGAAUAAUCAGAAUAUUCUGCCAUCAACAAUUUAUGAAGUGAAAAAAUGCUGCAUGAUGGCUCAAUAGAGACAAGUAAUACCUAGCAAAGAAAGUUUU
rnacentral:misc_RNA from 1 species